ACUCCUACGGGAGGCAGCAGUGGGGAAUAUUGCACAAUGGGCGCAAGCCUGAUGCAGCCAUGCCGCGUGUAUGAAGAAGGCCUUCGGGUUGUAAAGUACUUUCUAGCAGUGAGGAAGGUGGAGUCGUUAAUAGCGGCCUCAUUUGACGUUAGCUGCAGAAGAAGCACCGGCUAACUCCGUGCCAGCAGCCGCGGUAAUACGGAGGGUGCGAGCGUUAAUCGGAAUUACUGGGCGUAAAGCGCAUGCAGGUGGUUUGUUAAGUCAGAUGUGAAAGCCCGGGGCUCAACCUCGGAAUUGCAUUUGAAACUGGCAGACUAGAGUACUGUAGAGGGGGGUAGAAUUUCAGGUGUAGCGGUGAAAUGCGUAGAGAUCUGAAGGAAUACCGGUGGCGAAGGCGGCCCCCUGGACAGAUACUGACACUCAGAUGCGAAAGCGUGGGGAGCAAACAGGAUUAGAUACCCUGGUAGGAUAGCGUAGUCGUGGGGGGCAAGGCAC
rnacentral:rRNA from 1 species